rnacentral:tRNA from 1 species
AGGAUAGUAGUUAAUUAUAACAUUUGAAUUGCACUCAAAAAGUAUUGAACUCUCAAUCUAUCUUG